rnacentral:rRNA from 1 species
GAUGAACGCUGGCGGCGUGCCUAAUACAUGCAAGUCGAGCGAACGGACGAGAAGCUUGCUUCUCUGAUGUUAGCGGCGGACGGGUGAGUAACACGUGGAUAACCUACCUAUAUGACUGGGAUAACUUCGGGAAACCGGAGCUAAUACCGGAUAAUAUUUUGAACCGCAUGGUUCAAAAGUGAAAGACGGUCUUGCUGUCACUUAUAGAUGGAUCCGCGCUGCAUUAGCUAGUUGGUAAGGUAACGGCUUACCAAGGCAACGAUGCAUAGCCGACCUGAGAGGGUGAUCGGCCACACUGGAACUGAGACACGGUCCAGACUCCUACGGGAGGCAGCAGUAGGGAAUCUUCCGCAAUGGGCGAAAGCCUGACGGAGCAACGCCGCGUGAGUGAUGAAGGUCUUCGGAUCGUAAAACUCUGUUAUUAGGGAAGAACAUAUGUGUAAGUAACUGUGCACAUCUUGACGGUAUCUAAUCAGAAAGCCACGGCUAACUACGUG